ensembl:ncRNA asRNA:CR43906 antisense RNA:CR43906
CCCUCAGAACAGAAAAAAGAAACAUCAAUCGAAAUAUAUUGUAAAAAUAUUAAAUUAGGGAAAGGAGCAGGAUCAGACGCGUUAUACUAAAUGGGAUCAGGAUCAGGAGCAUAUGUACAGGAAAUGGAAGAAGACAAAUUUUAAACCGACUGACUGGCGCUCUCGCCGACUGUUGAAGCUACCGGCCUCUGAAGUCGCAGCGAGGAGCGACAUGGCAACGCAAAUUGGUAUUUGUUAUGACUUAGAAGCGCAUAUCGCUGCUGCGGAACAUAGUCCCACAACGCCCGCUCGAUCACAUGAAGAGCGUCCGGACUGAGCACGUCCGCUGUAUACUGCGUAGGAGCCCCAACGACCAAGGACAUGGCUGAAAUAAAUUACAAACAUAAAAUUAUAUAUAAUUGAUUCCCAACGAUGAUGGAAAACAUUACUUUGUGCCACUGGUGCCUUGUACAAUGACUCCGCCGUCAUGCCGCAUGUAUCCAAAGCGACCACACUGACGCCAUAGGGAUGCAGCUCCUUGCGCAGCUCUUCGGCACACUUGUCUACGGCAACGCGUGAGGCGUUAAAGGCAACCAGUCCAUCACCUUCGUUUCGAGCAUUUCCACCUCCACUUACUCCUCCCAAGUAAAGGAGUCUUCCACGUGUCGGACGGAGAAAACACACAAAGGCCUUGGCCACACGUAAGGUGCCCAGGAUGUUGGUUCUGAGCAUGUGUUCCCACUGCUGGACAUUCUGCGAUUCAACCUGGCCUCGGAAAACACUGCCACUAGUGUUAAUUACGGCCGCAAUACCGCGCUCAUCUGCAUUUAGAUUAGCGCCUAUAAUAACGGUGGCCUCGCGAAGCACAUCCUCUCGGGUGACAUCCAAUCUCAUCGGAAUAAUUGUGCCUGCAAUGGGUUCCUCACUGUACUCUCGGAUCUUCAUCCAACCGCAAAGAAGUUUGGCGGGUAGCGAAUCUUGGGCCUCUUUCAUUCCAGCAAAAACCCGAUAACCCUUGUUAGCCAAAUGGGUGCACAAUUGAAGACCCAAUGCGGUAUCCGCACUGGUUAUCAGGACCACCCGACUGGGAUGACUAUCCGCAUUGGCAGAUGCGCUAUCCUCGCGCACCUUACAAAUCAGGUAGAUAAGCAGCGCGCCGGCGAUCGAAAAAAGCGCAAGCAACUGGAAGCCCAACACCAGCAUGGUCAUUGCCUCCAUUAUGACAUCGCUGGAAUAGCAGAAAAAAGGAUUGGACUAGGAUUAGGCCCAACCUCCAGCGGGUUGCCAACCGCCACCACCGCCGCCUCCGUGGCCGCCACCGCCGCCGGCACCUCCAUGGCCUCCAGAGCUCAGUUUGAUGAUUUUGAUGACCUUGGUGUCGCCACCUCCGCUACUUCCGUGGCCACCACUACCACCUGAUGACCAACCUCCGCCUCCUCCUCCUGAAGACCAGCCUCCUCCACCACCACUAUGUCCUCCUCCACCGCCUCCGAGACUAAUGAUUUUGAUGAGUUUUACAUCGCUGCCGCUUCCGCCGCCUCCCCCUGAGGACCAGCCACCCCCGCCACCUCCAGAAGACCAUCCACCUCCUCCCCCGCCGCCGCCAGAAGACCAUCCACCUCCUCCUCCGCCGCCUCCAGAGGACCAUCCACCUCCUCCCCCGCCGCCACCAGAUGACCCACUCUCGGUAAUAACUUUAAUAAUUUGUACGUCUCCUCCGCCGCCAUGGCCACCACCGCCACCACCUCCCGAUGACCAACCGCCUCCACUUCCUCCAGAGGACCAGCUACUUCCUCCGCCGGGCUUAGGGUUAGCCGUCACACUGGCCGCUCCAAUGAGCAUAAGACACACAAAGGCCUGAAAAGCAUAAACUUUAUUACAAUCACUUUAAAAAAAAUGUCCAGCAAGGCUGCCUGCAAAAUAGUUUUGGAUUAUGCAGGAUAAUUUAAUAGUUAUCCUGGCUUACAACGAACCGUACUUUCAUAGCUUGAAACACUCCGUUUGGGUUAACUAGUGAGUUAAGCGCAAAUCCACAACUGACACGACUGCAGAUGGCAGCGAGAGUUUUUAUACCAAACCAGGUGCAACAUAACUUUAACCGGAAAAGCUUGGCUCUGCCAGUUGGCAAAAGGAAAAACAUUUUUUAACGCUAACUGCGUGGUUGGCAGAUGUUGGAAGUGUUGCCGAGGCACUGGUAUGAAAAAAAUGUAUAUAUUAUGAUCAAAGAUACUUUAAAAAACAUAUAGGUUUAUUGCCAUAAGCAAAUUCG